UACGUAGGGGGCAAGCGUUGUCCGGAUUUAUUGGGCGUAAAGAGCGUGUAGGCGGCCAGGUAGGUCAGCUGUGAAAACUCGAGGCUCAACCUCGAGACGUCGGUUGAACCACCUGGCUAGAGUCCGGAAGAGGAGAGUGGAAUUCCUGGUGUAGCGGUGAAAUGCGCAGAUAUCAGGAAGAACACCCGUGGCGAAGGCGGCUCUCUGGGACGGUACUGACGCUGAGACGCGAAAGCGUGGGGAGCGAACAGG
rnacentral:rRNA from 1 species